CUUUUCAUGCCCCCUUGAAAUGCCUAUAUGAACCUUGCCGACCUUCGGGACGGCUAUGGCAAUAAACGGACGGUGUAAUAAGCCUAUUGGACCCGGGGGCGGUACCCGGCGCCUCCACCAGGAACGGCUCACGCAAAGAGCCGCUGCUGAUGGGGGCGAAACAGGAUCGACAAGGGUGUAAAGAUCGUACUUUUGCUCGGCAUGAUACCACCGUUAUCGGGUCAAAAAGUGUAGUUGCAAACGACAACAACGCUAAGGGUUAUGCUCUCGCUGCCUAAUGGCGGUGCGGGAAACCCGACCUAAGUCCUUCUGGUUAGCACCUUGAGGCGGGGUCCGGAGGUACCUGGCAACAGAAACCUCCA
rnacentral:tmRNA from 1 species